AUCUGCUUCUGCUCUGUUUCGCGUCGGGCUUCCAAUAUACUUUUGCACCGACAACCACUGCCUCCCCUUUCGAAAGGCUGGCCUUGGAGCAUCCGAGGUUGUCGUGAAGGACAAAGAACAUCUGUGGGCACCGGGAAGCCCACAGGGAGAAAAUGGAGGGUGAUUUUAAAACACGCCUUGGACAUCAGCAGGGUUAGGGAGCGAGCACAGCCGGUGAGUGCCCAGGGUGGGGUGAGGGCCUGCUGACGCGUGGGCCCUCUCUGCUCCCUGGACGGCUCCCCCACCCAGGCCCAGCCUGACCCCCGCUGAGGUCCUGGGGAGGCUGUGGGGCAAAUGGAAGGCAAGCUAGGCCCUGAGGCUCUGCCCUGCCCUCCCCGUGUGGCCCGGAGGAGGAGGCCGGGUGGGGAAAGAAAUCAGAGGGGUCUGCAGCUAAAACCCCUGCGUCUGCUUAAUAAACCAUGACCCGAUGAUCAUCUCUACCUUCAGAGGCCAGAAGAAUCUCCCUGUCUGAUUUCAGAGGAAGAGGCAGAGGGAGGUAGGCUCCAUCUGUUCAAGUGGUAGAAUAAGGAAAUGAGGGGACGUCUGCUUUUGAGCAAGGUGUCUAAGAGAAAGCAGAAUAGUCCCAGGGCCUUGGGACUCCACUGAGGGCGGGAGCCACCAAUCAGGCAGAAAUGGCAGGGGCCCCACAGGGCAGGACCGACCAGAGGGGACACAGAGUUUCUCUCUGACCAUCGCACACAUCAACACAUCUGCAGCAAGUACCCCCUGGAGGGACGGUGUCUUUUAAGGCCUGCCCCCUUAUGCCAAAGCAAGCCCACAACCAAGUCCCAGUCUGUGCGGAGCGCUGCUCCCCCUUCAGUGAGAAGGCCUGUGAAGCCACAGGACACAGGUCAUGGUCCAGAAAAGGUAAAGGCUGAGACCACUGAUGCAAUUGGUCAUGUCAGUAUGGGUACGUUUGUGGCCAAAUGGGUACUUUUAUUCUCUGCAAGUGAGAGUACUUGCUGAAAACUGAAAACUGAAAACGUUUUGGAGGCAGGUUGGUGGCGUUUGUUAAGACUGUAAAAUGCAUAUCCAUUAUGAGGAGUUCAUCACGUAGAUAUAUUUAGCCACAACACCCAGAGAGGCGCAGGAUAGUUUGUAGACGGGAAAAAAAAAAUCCAAGUCAAGAAGGGACCUGAAAUUGACAAGUUAGGUAGAAAAUGAGGAGAAAAUGAGUCAGGUGUGCAUGUGAUGACACGGAAUGAUCUUUACGAUAUUUUAUAAAGUGAAACUAAGUUAAAGAGUAGUGUAUUGAUAUCAUUUAUAUAAACAUAAAGGACAUGCUAUGGGUGUGAAAUAAACUGUUGACAGUGGUGAAGAGUAGACAGCAGAUCAGGCUUUUAUUUUAUACCUUUCUGUGCUACUUGACCUUUUUUCCUCCUUGUGCACGUAUUACACUUCUAAUUAAAACAAAAUUGGUUUGGUAACCGUUCUGUAUUCAUCUUAAAGCCUCAGUGAUUUCGAAGCAAACAUUUCUCAGAAUCUUGGAACUUUUACUUUUGAAGUUUGCAUCUUAGGCUGUAACCAUGCUGUGACUCGGGAGCUAAAUCCGGUCGACCCACACUCAAGAGAAAUACUUGACCGCUAGUAAGCGAAGAGAUAGCCCAACGUUCUGUACGCUCCUGAUUUCUACGUGUUCCACCUGUCUGGUCAGCAUAUCAGAAUCUUCUCUCGACUCAGAGAACCAAGUAUGCAUUACAAGGCGAUGUACAACCUCUCCUGGAUUUCAGACCCUCGAUGUCAGUUGUUGUUGUGAUCUCAUUUGGAUCCUUGCUGUGCACACGAGGUGCCUACACAACACACUACCAUAUUAUUAUGCAGCCCAGACCUUGUGGGUUUGCAGAAUAGCAAAAAGGUCAGAAGUGGAAUGAAAUGAAUAUUCUCCGACUGUCCCGUGCCGACGAGAACUCCUGCUCAUUCAUCAUUCUGGGUCUGAGAGCUGGCAGAGGACCCGGAAGCUGGAAGAGGAUGGAUGGAGCCCUGGAGGGGGACUCUCCCUCAGGCAGACACGAAAAGCCAGUCAGAUAAGCGGAGGUGUGUCCUUGCCUUUCUCCAGACCAACUUUCCUCUAGACCCCGUUGUCUGUGGGCCAGGACCUGAUGGUGCCUCUUAGUGGCAGACCCUCAGCCUUCACUCCUCUGGGACACUCCAGGCUGCCACCAGCCAUGCUCUCUGUGAUCAUUCUUUCCGAAUCAUAGUCCCUGGCAUGGGCUUUGCAAAUAUUUUGAUGGAACUGAGAAGUAUUUUAGUUCCUUAUAUGAACCAGAUAGUAGAGGGUUGAAUGGUGGUCCCCACCCCCCCCCCCCAAGUUUACACCUAUGUCUUAAUCUUUGGCACCUGCGAGUGUGACCUUAUUUGGAAAAAGGGUCUUUGCAGAUGUCAUUGGGGUCAGGAUCUCAAGAGGAGAUUAUCCUGGGUAACCCUAGGGGGCCCUGGAUCCAAUGACAAGUGUCCCUACAAGAGACAGGAGAGAAGACCAUGUGACAAGAGAGGCAGAGAUUAGAAGAAGGGUGGGGCCACAGGCAUAAGACACCUGCAUCUGGAAGAGGCCGGGAAGGCCUCCUCUAGACCUUUCAUUCGUGUCAUCCUCGCUUCCAGAACUUUGGGAAUAUACAUUUUUGUUGUUUUAAGCCACUUCGUUUGUGACACUUGGGGGUAACUCUAGCAAACUAAUAUAUGCCCCCAAAAUAGGUCUUAGUUUUCAUUUUUGUUUUAGUUUUCCUUACAAAUAAAUUUCUUGCAAAAAUU